rnacentral:tRNA from 1 species
GCGGUGUCCUGGGAGAUGUUGAUGACGUCGGCGCCCUUGUCGACGGCGUGCUUGAUCGCCUGGGCGAGGGUGCCGGCGGUGCCGUUGCCCUCGGCGUCGUUC